AAACAAGAGGAUAUAAUAGAGUGGAAGAAAAUACUAUAUGCCACUGUUUCAGUUUCCAGAAAAAGACCGAACUUUGAAUUUGGCCUUCCGAUUGCAGCUAUGAGACGAAUGGCUACAUCAAAAUUCAGAACGCCUAAAAAUUUAUAGAGGGAUUGCGGCAAGAAUUUAAUGUGCGACAACUCCCAAGAAAUUAAAUGGAACAAAAUCAUUAGCAUUAUAGUUCAUUUUGGUAAAUUUUGCACCUUGGAAUAAACUCCAGAUCGAACAACUCCAUUAUUCUCCUGCAUACCUGAAUAAUGCGAAGAAUUUUUGGCCCUGUUUGGUUUCCCUUUUUCAGCCAGAUUCCGCUGUAUGGCAGCCAAAUCGUAACCAAAGAGCGAACGGUUCCGAAUGUGAUGUGAAGGAUCAACACCUCCAAACCAGGCUAGCUACCGCUAGAGAUCAUGACACCUAAAAGAAUAAAACAAUUCCAACAGCAUCCAAAUCAAGCUAGCUAUUAAUCUCACAAAAGAUGCAUUCUCGAAAUUAGUCUUUCGUAAGGAAUCGUAUAUUAUCCAACUUCGUUACAUAGGACUUGUGCUGACGAAGCAUAUACCAAUCUCACCUCCAUUGUGAAUCUGUAAACGUGCAAAUGACAGUUGAUGCCAUCAUUCCUACAGAUGACAUCUGUGAUGUAGUGCACUGGCAGAGCCCUCUGUACUAUCCUAUCCUGGUCAUGCUCCUUGUUGUUUCUACCACCAUAUCCUCAGAAGUAGAUAAAAUCUUAUUUCUGUAUGUGCUUACGUACAACAAAUGCUCCUAAGCUAUACAAUUCAAAGAAUAAGAAUUUUGAGAAUUCUCCGUAGGGCAUAUCCAAGCAUUGUGCACAACAAAAGAUAGUGAACUGAACACCAUGUUUGGAUAGGAAGCAGAACUAAAUGCAUGAAAAAUCACAGAAAUACUAAGAGAGGCAUAGCAACCACAUGCAUAAGAAUUAACCAGAAUGGCUCAUUGCUAAGAACCUGCGUAUCUAUACACACACAAAGAAUCAGAAAGAGCCCUCUAGCUUACUAUAUAGGGCAUAAAUUGCAUAUCCAAACCUCAAAUGGGUUAAUUAUCUCUCAGAGCUACUAAACAGUUAGAAGAUUCUUUGCAUCAGUUAUGAAGAUCCAUGAUUAACCCUUUCUCUUUGGAUAGAGGUUGUUUCACUAAUGCUCUUGAUCUGUUCUUUUUUCAAAGUUAGGAACAAGGUAGUACCAUGACAAAAACUAAAAGGAAACACACCAUCAUUACCAUGAAAAAUAUGACGUACCACCAGAAAUUGAUCAUUGGAUUAUCGAAACAUACCAUUCCCCCUUGAUGGGUGUUCAGAGGCGUGCACAUAAGAGAAUACCACCAACAUGACCAACCUCGCUGAUUCCAACACCAAACAGCUUACUCAACCCAUACUUUGUCUUCGGAAAGAUGACAACUUCUUGGACACAAUACAAACAUAUAAGGAUGUUUACAAAAAGUGGUCAUAAUCAACUCUAAUUCAGAACUUGUACAUUGAAUAUAUAAGUGUUGAUAAUCUCUUGUAAUUCAGAGCUAGAUACAGUAGUAUUCUAUUCUGAAAUUGCACAUGAAGUUGCACACAGCCUGCACAUUGCACAUACAAAUAGCACACACAGAUUUCAGCAUCCAUUGCACUACAAAUAUCACACACCGUGGCCUGCUACACUACUAUUUGCUGCACAAAUUUCACUAAUCAAACAUUAGCCUAUUGCAUUACUACUUGCUGAAGCCACCGAGAAUACUGUGUUGGCUUAAACCCUGUCUCCCUCGCCCUUCUCUGAAUUUAGUCAUUUUUCAGAUAAGUGUCGCUAGACACAUUCAGUUUCGUCAGUAGCCAGUCGUUUUUCCAUUAGCAGUUUUUCCUCGCCAAUUGGUUGCGUUUUGUGCGCCUUGGCUUAGUCGUAGUAGGCCCAGCACGAAGCUCGGAUCAUGGGGAUGGACGUGGUCAGUAGUGGAGCACGUUGCUCAGGCACGAUCGUGUACUCUUGAUGAAUAAAAAGGGUAAAACAGAAAAGCUGCAGAUGUAGAGCGCGGCACAAAAAAACUUCAGUGUCUCUGCGUGUUCUUCCUCUCUGAAUUCUCUCUCUCCCACGACCGAGCUAGAGUUUAGGGAGACAUACUGAAGGCACAAUCAACAAGAACAUCACAAAAUCGUAAAAGAGAGCUUCGCCUCCUGAAUUUUUAAUUAAAAAGAAUUAGGGAUUACAGAUUGAUCAAUUAUAAAAUGUCACAACCUGAAUAUGUCACAAAGGGGAUUGCGAAUUAGACUACAUAUCCAGUCCAUUGACCAAACUGAAACUAAAAUUAAUGUCCCCCUAAAUUUAAGCAGUGCUAAAAUCCCUAAUAAAAUCAGUGCAUUUCGACUUCAGAAAUGACAUUAAAACUGAACAACUAUGAAUUGAGUAAGAAAAGAAGACAGCUACACGCACGUAGACGUACCUGGAAGCAGGUGACGUUCUGGAAGCAGUGGAGCUCCUGCGUGAAGUCAGGGAGGCCGAUGUGGUGUGGUGGAAGAUCCGGUUGAAGGUUGAGGGUAGGGUUUGGGGCGUCUCCGUCCGUCCAUGGCUGCUGCCGGGCCGGGUCGGACCUCCAUG
rnacentral:lncRNA from 1 species